rnacentral:lncRNA from 1 species
CCUGGGAGCCAGAGUCCUCUGAUCCCAAGAGGCAGGAUAUGGAAGAGGUGGAGGCCGGAGUAGGGCUCAGCCUCUACCUCCAGGCCCACGUCGUGGGGGGUGUCCCCUCUGUGUGUUUCAUAUCAUGAUGACGCCAAGAGCAUGAAGUAGAAUUCCCCCUUUUCUGCCCUCAUCCUACUGCGGUGAUGACAUCUUCUUCUACCUUUCCUGUUGGCGGGAAUCCAGGGGUUGUCCUCUGUUCCUUUGUUCCCACGGCUCAAGAACUCCCAGGUCUUUUGACUCCACCGUUAACCUCUCUGGAGUCCUCCACCUGCCGGGUCCUCACAGCCCCUCCCAGGCCCCCUGCCCUGAGCUCUGACCUAGGCAUUGACUCUCCCUCAGCCUCCAGCCUGCCCUCCUCCUGCAGGCACCUGGUCCAUCCAUGACUUGAUCCUGCUGAAAACUUGCUUUGGCCCCAUCCGGACCCCCAGCCUCAGCUGGGGAUCCUCCACUCAGCAGUGAGUGGCCAGCGAGCGAAUGGGCGACUAGACAAACAUCUCCUGGCACAGGAGUGACUGCCCUGGCAAAGCUUGUAGAUCCCAAGACUUUAUUAAAAGACCCAGAUGUUUCAAUCCUCCAAAUUCCUGCUUUGGAAGAAAAAAGAAAAGUAAAACAUAAACACCAGUAUUGUUUUCUCGUGAAGAUUCACCUUUUUUACUUUGCUUUUAAUCCUGAGCCCAGCACAGCCUUUUGGGUCUUUGUAACAAACUUGAGCUUAUCCUGGAAGGAGGAGGAGGGGACCUCAAACUCCAAGAGGGAGCUCCUGCUGGAGGUCAGGGAGGGAGGAAGAAAGAAAGGGAAAGAAGAAAUUCCUAGCACCCCAUGGGUUCUUCCACAUCUCAAAUAAUCCCAAAUGGAUGUUUUUCUUCAUUGAAAAAAAAAAAGGCUUUGUUUUUGUAAAAAUGUCACAACCCCUUAUAAGUGAUGCUCGUCACAUCAUUGAAAAAGUUUAAACCAGCAAAGAGGACAAAGAGGAAAAGAAGAUGACUCCACACGGCACCGCCCAGCUGCUUGUGUGAGUGUAUUCAUGUGCAUGGUGUGUGCUACCCUUGAAAAAAUCUCACCACCCAAGAAGGCGAUGUCGUCUGCCACACCUGGCCUCCGCCUCUGCAGCUCCAACCCCCAAACCAUUCUCUGGUGAUUCACGCACCUGGACAAUACCUGUUUACUGGGGCUGAGGAUGUAGCCCAUGGUAGAGCACUCCCUAUAGGCGACAUAGAGCCUAGGUAGAGAGAACCCUGGUCUCCAUCCCCAGCACAGAAAAGGAGGAGGAGGAAGAGGGAGAGGAAGGCGCAGGAGAAGGGUGUGUGUGAUGUUUAGUUGCAACUGCAGCCAGAGCUGCCGGGGGUGCUCCUUCUUGAGGAAGCUAGAGGGAACUUUCUGAAGAGGUGACAGUUGGUCUGAAGGAAGAAGACGCAUAAACUGGAGAGGUAGAGAAACUGCAUGCCCAGCAGAGGGCAAGGCCAGUGGGCAGGAAAUUCUGAUGUGGCCACCAUGACAGACUGCCAGUUCCCCUUCCUCCACAUGGAGACUUGAUUUUUAUUCUAGUGUCUCCCCUCCCCAAAUUCACUAAUUUACUAGUUUACUCACGUUUCCCCUGGAGAAUCUAAGCUCAUGAUGGUAGCCUCGUCUCCUUGCCAGUGGUUUUGGUGAGGGGAUGGGUGAGCGAAUGUGACCUGGUCUGAUAAGAAAAGGAAGGAACCAGAAAGGUCUGCAGAGAGACUUCUGGGAAGCACCAGCCAAUUGCUUUUCUGCAUCCAGAUACCAAUGGUGAGGUUGUGAUAUCCAGAUUGUCACAGCCAUCUUGAACCCCUGAGGAUGAGGCCAACAGGUUACGGUGACCGAACAAAAAGAGAGCAAAAAUCUGGGCUCUUACUGGUGUCAAAGAGCCUUUGAAAAAGGCUACUCACGAGGCUGAGGCAGGAGGAUCACAAGUUUGAGGCCAGCUUCAUCAAUUUAGAGAGGUCCCAUCUCAAAAUAAAAAAUAAAAGGGCUGGGGAUGAAGCUUAGUGAUAAAGUGCCGCUGAGUUCAAUCCCCAGUAGAGAGAGAGAGAGAGAUUAUGAAUGGGGACAGAGCUCCAACCCCCAAACCAUUCUCUGGUGAUUUCUUUGGCAAUAUCCAGCAAAAGCUUACUUUUCUUUUGUUGGCACCACCUGAGUCCUCAUCUUGUCCCCACCCCUGGCAGAGUCAGAGCUCAUAGUAGAUGUUUGUGAAAUGGAAAGAUGGACAGAUCUGAUUGUCUGUAGGAGAACAGCAAGAGUUGGGGGUGAGGGGCUUGCGGAGGUAACCCUACUGGCCUCCUGCUGGGCCUCCUGCAUGGACAAGAACCAUGUGGACACAGCGGUACCUGGAAGCUUUCAGGCCCUCAGGAGAGUGGCCAGGGUAAGUUCCCCUCUGCGGCAGUCCAGGAUGAACUGUGCAGGUGCAGCUGGGGUGAGCAGGAUGGCAGCAUCACCAAGCUGCACUCCAGGGCUCACUGGGAGUUUCCCUCCAGGUUGUUCAACUUGCUGGUGGCACUGAGUGAGGUCCCUGGGCUGUGGCCCUGUCUUGAUCCGACCUUGGGAGUGUGGGCACAGGGUUUGGGUCUGACUUCGUAAGCUGCCCCUGGAGCUCAGGUAAGGUGCAUGGUGCCUCGUCUUCCUGAGUGUCCCCCAUAUUCCCAUUCUCCAAGUUUUUUCACAACCACAAUCUCAUUUCCAU